UUCUAUGAGCUUUUGGGACCCUUCCAACCCAACCAUCCCCUGAUGCCAUGACUUUACGAUCCCCCUGUGCUGACGGCACUCACUCUUUGCAGGCACCACAGGAAGGCACUGAGGAGCGUGGCCUUCCACAAGCACUACCCGCUCUUCGCCUCGGGCUCAGACGAUGGGACCGUCAUUGUGUGCCAUGGCAUGGUCUACAACGACCUGCUGCAGAACCCGCUGCUGGUGCCAGUGAAGGUGCUGAAGGGCCACGCGUUGACCCUGGACCUGGGCGUCCUCGAUGUCAUCUUCCACCCCACACAGCCGUGGGUCUUCUCCUCCGGAGCCGACGGCACCGUCCGGCUCUACACGUAGCUGCUGCCCAACACCGGCACCCCAAUGACACCGACACCCCAACUCCAGAACCCCAACACAGGCACCCCAACACCGGCCGGGAACAUCUCCGCUCCCACCCAUGGACUCUGGAACCUUUCUCAUUUCUCAUUAAACUGAUUUUUGGGUACAGA